rnacentral:tRNA from 1 species
UAGAAGAUAGUGUAAGUGGUAGAAGAGAAAAUUUUGAGUUUUUUAGUAUAGGUUCGUGGCCUGUUCUUCUA